CAUGGCUCAUCCACAGGUGCUGCAUGGUUGUCGUCAGCUCGUGUCGUGAGAUGUAAGGUUAAGUCCUUGAACGAGCGCAACCCCUUUCGUCAGUUGCAAACCAGCAAUGGCGCACCCUGACGAUACUGCCAGCUAAAAGUUGGAGGAAGGAGGGGAUGACGUCAAAUCCUCAUGGCCUUUAUGUCCAGGGCUACACACAUGCGACAAUGGUCGGUACAACGAGUCGCAACACCGCGAGGUGAAGCCAAUCCCUAAAAACCGACCUCAGUUCAGAUUGCAGACUGCAAUUCGUCUACAUGAAGAUGGAGUUGCUAGUAACCGCGGGUCAGCUACACCGCGGUGAAUAUGUUCCCGGGCCUU
rnacentral:rRNA from 1 species